AGAGCUGUUUCUGCAUACUUUUGCUUCCAGUUAUGUCUCAGGGCUUUCCUCACACGAUGCACCUUCUGGCCUCAGUCAGUUCAGUACAAGCUCUCUAUUCUAAUUGGGCAGAAUUACACUGUCUACUUGAAGAACUCUUCGUGAAAUUCCCAAGAGCACCCUCCCAGGACACAAAGAGAAGGAAAUGAAACCAGCCUUUGCUGAGGCAAGCCAGGAUUUGGAGUUAUUGACAGCUGAGUCCUGAUUUCAAAUUUAACACCAUUGUUAAAAUAAACUAUGAGUUUUGCAUUAUGCCUCAAUUGAGCCAUUAAGACAAAA